rnacentral:rRNA from 1 species
UACGAAGGGGGCUAGCGUUGUUCGGAAUCACUGGGCGUAAAGCGCACGUAGGCGGAUUUUUAAGUCAGGGGUGAGAUCCCGAGGCUCAACCUCGGAACUGCCUUUGAUACUGGAGAUCUUGAGUCCGGAAGAGGUAAGUGGAACUACGGAGUGUAGAGGUGAAAUUCGUAGAUAUUCGCAAGAACACCAGUGGCGAAGGCGGCUUACUGGUCCGGAACUGACGCUGAGGUGCGAAAGCGUGGGGAGCAAACAGG